AGCGAACGCUGGCGGCAGGCCUAAAACAUGCAAGUCGAACGGACCCUUCGGGGUUAGUGGCGGACGGGUGAGUAACACGUGGGAACGUGCCCUUUGGUUCAGAACAACUCAGGGAAACUUGAGCUAAUACUGAAUAAGCCCUACGGGGGAAGAUUAUCGCCAUUGGAGCGGCCCGCGUUGGAUUAGCUAGUUGGUGAGGUAAAGGCUCACCAAGGCUACGAUCCAUAGCUGGUCUGAGAGGANGAUCAGCCACACUGGGACUGAGACACGGCCCAGACUCCUACGGGAGGCAGCAGUUAGGAAUCUUGCGCAAUGGGCGAAAGCCUGACGCAGCCAUGCCGCGU
rnacentral:rRNA from 1 species